rnacentral:tRNA from 1 species
GCCCGGGUGGCGAAACUGGUAGACGCAGGGGACUUAAAAUCCCCAGAUCGAAAGGUCGUGCGGGUUCGAAUCCCGCCCUGGGCACCA